GGCACGAUGGCGGAGUGGUUAACGCGCGAGCCUGCUAAGCUCGUUCCUUCGGGAGCAUGAGUUCGAAUCUCAUUCGUGUCG